AUGAUCUAAAAACAAUCCCCAAACCAAAAAAUUAGAGAUUAUUUCCUCAAAAUUAGGUAUUUUAAUCAUAUCUUAACAUAAAUACAUUAUCAUCCAAUAUGCAUAAUGUUUUUCAACUUUUUUGUUAAAUGACUUAUUUUAGAUGAACAGAUGUGUGAAUAUGAAUAUUUUUAUUUUACUUAUAGCCAUCUUGCAUGUGAGUAACUCACAACUUUAAUUCAUGGAACAAAGUUGAGAAAUAGUCUUUUGGGGGUUUGGUACUCCCUGGAAACAUGAGUGCUUUGAGCACCUCUGGUGCCUUUCCACACCUGCCUUCUCUGCUGGUCUUGCUGCUAGUAAAUUCCAAAUCAUGGCCAAGUGAUGCCAGCACUGGAUAAUACUGGCUCUGCCCCACAUUUCCAGGGAAAACUCUGGGACUUGGCAUUAUAUGUGUGGAAAUCUGGUCUUGGUUGGCACUCCCAGCAUGAUAGCAGGGUUCUGCUGUCUGAAUGUACUCUGGGGUGUGUGCCACAACUUCCACCAUCAAAAUGGAGAUGACAGAAUACUCCCUUGGGGUGGGGGGAACACCCCACUGGAAUUACGGUGAAGAGAUCAAAGCUAGAGGUUCUUAAAGAAUAUCUAAUAUCAAAGAGAAAAACUUGCUUAAAGGAAAUGCAUUUAAGUACUAGAUCUAAUAUAAUGAAAAAUGCCAACUUUAACAUAUUGAUACAUGCUUAGUAUACUUUCAGUCCUGCAAAGACAAAGUUUUAAAACACACAACAUUGGCAGCUCCCAAGUCAAAUCUGGCCCAUAGACAUGUUUUAUUUAACCUAUAAUGUAGUAACACUUGACCCAAAAUUUAAAAAUUGAAAAGUUUCAUAUAAAAAUACAGAUUUACAGCUUUUCUAGAAAAGUUAUGAGUUAACAGUUUCUGAAUUGCAACAGCAGCUGGAACACAGUUGCCACUGACCAUUUAGAUGGCUGCUGCAGUCCCCAUUGCUCACUCUGGCUUCCCUGGCUCAGGUAGGCAUUCUCAUUCGUAACCCCUGGCUUAAAACAUAACUUUCUAGUUUUUUAAAUUCUCUCAAAAUCAAAUAACCUGAACUAGCAAAUGAUCUAUCUAGAUCUCAUACAUGAAACUCAUAAAAAACUGACCACAGACAGUGGCUCUCAAACUUUGCUGUAAAUGAGAGUCACUGGGAAGCUUUUAAAAAUCCUGUUCCCGGUGCUCGGGUGUGAUCAGCAUUGGUGUCUGAGUGUAGUGGGCAGAAAAGACUUGGCCAGGCAGAUGGCUUCUCGGUGGCAGAGCAUGGGGACCUCCGUGCACUGGAGAUCUCUCCGGCACCAGGAGCAGCUGGAGAACAGCAAGGAGCUGCAGCCUGUGGCCAGCCAUCAGGAGACCUCCUCCGGGGCCCUAGGGUCCCUGUGCACAGUUCCAAAGGAGGCUGCCCCUGAAAGCCGUCAACCUCAACCUCCGCGCAGGCCCCUCCUGGAAAUGCCUGGAAACCCCAGAGCCAGGGCAGCAGGGCCUCCAGGCAGCAGCUCGCUCAGCUAAGAGUGCCUUGGGUGCCAUGUCCCAGAGAAUCCAGGAGUCCUGCCAAAGUGGCACCAAGUGGCUGGUGGAGACCCAGGUGAAGGCCAAGAGGAGGAAGAGAGGGGCACAGAAGGGCAGUGGAUCCCCAACUCACAGCUUGAGCCAGAAGAACACCUGGCUGUCUGGAGCCUCCCCUGCCUACUCACUUGCAGACCCCUGGGAGAAGGAGCAUCACUGCCUCUCUGCCCGGAUGGGCUCAUGUGCCCACCCAUUACGGCAGUCGAGGCGAGAGGCAGCCUUCUGGAGCCCCUACUCGUCUACAGAGCCCCUCUGACAGUGAUCUAGAGCCUGUGGGGGCGGGAAUUCAGCACCUACAGAAGCUGUCCCAAGAGCUAGAUGAAGCCAUCAUGGCAGAAGAGAGGAAACAAGCCCUGUCUGACCGCCAAGGCUUCACACCCAAGGAUGUCUGUGCUUCCCCAUGCACUUCCUGGAGGAAGUCCGCAGGAGUCACCAGUACCCCUGGGCCCCUGCUAAUGAGGACCUGACUAACAAGGGGCCUGGAGCCCCCAUGCUCCGGCUACAUCUGGACCCAUCAGUGACUGCCAGCCAUAGCCCGAGAGUGUCUUGGGGAGAGUAAUUUGCAGAGGUGGGGAGAAUUGUGCCUUCUGCUUUCCCCAGGGGACUCUUGAGCUUAGAAACUCAUUAUACACCUGACUUUGAGCUUUGUAUUUGCCUCAUCUGUAACGUGAACUGCUAGCAUCCGAUGUUUGAGAGCUCUUAGCCGUGUACCCAGGUGUCUGGUUUUGGGGGUGUCAUCCGCAGAGUCACUCACUGUCUCUGUUUCUGGUGCCAAGGCUCCUGAGGGCCCCACUCUCAUCCCUACUUUCCCUACCAGGGACUCAGAGGAAGGCAUAGGAGAUAUUUCCAGGCUUAAGACCCUGGGCUCACAGGUACCUAUUUAUAUGCUCUAUGCAGAGUGCUGUGGGUAUGCCGGGAGGGGUAGCCUAUUCGAGAGCAAUUUCUGCCCUUUGUAAAUUAUUUAAGAAAUCUGCUUUGUCAUUUUAUUAGAAAGAAACCAGCGUGUGACUUUCCUAGAUAACACUGCUUUCUCAUAAUAAAGACUGUUUGCCUUUG